ensembl:snoRNA SNORA54 small nucleolar RNA, H/ACA box 54
AGGCACCGUUCGUGGCCUCUUAGCCUGGCUGUGGCUGACGGGCUCCAUUCCGGUGUGACAGCAGUUCCAGCGGCACUUGACUGACUGCCCUGUGGCUCUCAGGUUCAGGUCCUGGGGACACAG